AUUGAACGCUGGCGGCAGGCCUAACACAUGCAAGUCGAACGAGUGGCGGACGGGUGAGUAAUGUCUGGGAAACUGCCCGAUGGAGGGGGAUAACUACUGGAAACGGUAGCUAAUACCGCAUACCAUCGGAUGUGCCCAGAUGGGAUUAGCUGGUGGGUGGGGUAACGGCUCACCUAGGCGACGAUCCCUAGCUGGUCUGGGAGGAUGACCCGCCACACUGGAACUGAGAGCCGGUCCAGACUCCUAGGGGAGGCAGAAGUGGGGAAUAUUGCACAAUGGGCGCAAGCCUGAUACAGCCAUGCCGCGUGUAUGAAGAAGGCCUUCGGGUUGUAAAGUACUUUCAUCGAGGAGGCGUUACUCGCAGAAGAAGCACCGGCUAACUCCGUGCCAGCCGCCGCGGUAAUUC
rnacentral:rRNA from 1 species